GAACGCUGGCGGCAGGCCUAACACAUGCAAGUCGAGCGGUAUUUGGUAGCUUGCUACUAGAGAGAGCGGCGUACGGGUGCGUAACAUGUGUGCAACCUACCCUUAUCAAGGGGAUAGCCAUUCGAAAGGAUGAUUAAUACCCUAUAAUAUAUCAGGUGGCAUCAUUUGAUAUUGAAAGCUACGGUGGAUAAGGAUGGGCACGCACAAGAUUAGCUAGUUGGUAAGGUAAAGGCUUACCAAGGCGACGAUCUCUAGCUGUUCUGAGAGGAAGAUCAGCCACACUGGGACUGAGACACGGCCCAGACUCCUACGGGAGG
rnacentral:rRNA from 1 species